AGGAYGAAGCCUUCGGGUUGUAAACYKCUUUUGUACGGRACGAAACGGUCKKCUUUAAUACAGAGGGCUAAUGACGGUACCGUAAGAAUAAGCACCGGCUAACUACGUGCCAGCAGCCGCGGUAAUACGUAGGGUGCGARCGUUAAUCGGAAUUACUGGGCGUAAAGCGUGCGCARGCGGUUAUAUAAGYCAGAUGUGAAAUCCCCGGGCUCAACCUKKGAACUGCAUUUGAGACUGUAUARCUASAGUACGGUARAGGGGGAUGGAAUUCCGCGUGUAGCARUGAAAUGCGUAGAUAUGCGGAGGAACACCGAUGGCGAAGGCAAUCCCCUGGACCUGUACUGACGCUCAUGCACGAAARCSUGGGGAGCACACASGGUUAGAUACCCUKGGUAGUCCACGCCCUAAACGAUGUCAACUGGGUGKUGGGUCCUCACUGACUCAGUCACG
rnacentral:rRNA from 1 species